AAGGCUUUAAGUUAAAUAAACUCAUAACCUUCAAAGCUAUAAAUAAAGAAUAAUCUUUAAGCCUUA
rnacentral:tRNA from 1 species